rnacentral:lncRNA from 1 species
GGGAACCCUCGGUGUGGGGGGUGUGGGGGGUGUGGGGGGCAGCCUGAGCCGCUCACUGCCGUUGCCUCUCUAUAGGUCGAGUUUGCCAUCAGCCGGGUCCAGAUGAAUUUCCUGCACCUGCUAAGUUCCGAGGUGACCCAGCACAUCACCAUCCACUGCCUUAACAUGACCGUGUGGCAGGAGGGCACUGGGCAGACCCCAGCCAAGCAGGCCGUACGCUUCCGGGCCUGGAAUGGACAGAUUUUUGAAGCUGGGGGUCAGUUCCGGCCCGAGGUGUCCAUGGAUGGCUGCAAGGUCCAAGAUGGCCGCUGGCAUCAGACACUCUUCACCUUCCGGACCCAAGACCCCCAACAGCUGCCCAUCAUCAGUGUGGACAAUCUCCCUCCUGCCUCAUCAGGGAAGCAGUACCGCCUGGAAGUUGGACCUGCGUGCUUCCUCUGACCUCUGACCUCUUGGCCACUCUAGGCCUCAUGGAGGAGGGAAGAGGAAGAGGCAAGGGGAGGGUACUGAGGGGCAGAUGGCUCCAGGAGAGGCAGCUCCCCUGCCCAAGGGUCCUUGGGCAGACCCCAGCUGUUGUCUGCCCAGUAGAAGUGGGUGGGGGUAGGAGGGGAUAGGGUGUCCUUGGGAACAAUGGAUCCCAGCUUAGCCCCAAAGACCAACCAAAGAGCCAGCCAGAGUAAGCUGGACCUGCAACCUGCCUGAGCCCCAUGGCCUCUCAGCUCUGCGGCCACCCCGUUCCCUCCCCAGCUUCCUGCCCAAAGAGCCCCACAUUCAAGCCAACUUGAGGGAAGGGGGCGUCUCGUCAGCUGGUCCCUGCUAGGGAGCUAUUGAUGUGCAAUAUUAGAAAGGAGACAUGAAAAAAGGAGAAAAGGAAAGACAGAAGUAUAUAUAUAUAUUAUUUAAACAAACAAAAAGAAGGUGCGUUACUAUUUUUUUUUCACCCGGGAAAGAGGUGAGAGGAUGGGAAGGAGCAGCCAGGCGUGGGAAGCGGCGAGAUCCUCGGGCUGGGGGUGCCCACGUUUGCUACCUCCCACUGUGAAAUCGCUGGUGCUCGCAAUUGUCUCUCAUAGUGUAUGUGAUUUUUUUAAGGAAAAAAAAAAAAACAACCCUAUUUAAGAUUCUGAAGGUGCUACCAUUAUUUUGCCACAGACUUUGAAGAAACUUUUGGAUGUGGGGCAUCAUCCGCAUCUUUCUCUCUCCUCCAAAUGACAAAGUUUGGGGAAUUUUUGAAUUUUCCUAGCAUCGCCCUUGUGCUCAUCAGGUAAUCUGCUAAGGAGGAAAAAAGAAAAGAAAAAAGGAAAAAAAAAAAAAGCAAAACAAAAACAAAAACAAAAACAAAACCCUACCGGAAACCAGAAGUAGAGAGAUUUACCGUAUAACUUAUGGACUUUGAAAUGUCUGUCCUUUUAAGGCAGCAGGGAGGCCUGGGUGCGAAGCAUGUUGGCUUGGCCCUUCACGGUCCUGGAGGGAGGUGAGGCUGGCCUUGGAAGGCGUGCCCUGGAGAGGUCUUGGGUGAAAACUUGACCUUGAAGAAACCAAUCACAAAAGCGGCGUUGGGUCAGGGCUAGCCUUAGAGGUGAAGCAUCAACAUGGAACCAUCUCAGGAAGCCGCAUCGCCUCUUCCGAGGUCCUCAGUUCCAGGAGCCUGUCCUUGCAAGAUGCAAUCAUCGUUCCUGCUUUUUCAUUGUCAUUAAAUUCUGUAGAAACCCAUUGUCAUUAGCUCCAAGUGUAAAUUUGGGUCAAGGAGACAGAAUAAUAAUGGGAAUCUCGGAGUUCGACACCAUAGUGACAUUCAGCGUCCUCUGAAUUGUGCUACAUCAGCGAACAAGUUGGCGCUUGAAUUGGAUUUUGAGGUUAUUUUAACCAUGGAAUUAUUUUUAUAGAAGGGGAAAAUGUAUGUGAAAGUCUCUAUUGUGUAUUUCUCUCCUAAAGUUGUGUCUCUUUGGGAAUUGGAUUUGAUUUUUAUUAUUUAAUACCUCACUUUGGCCCGUCCCCCCUCCCGACACUUCUGUAUCCUCGCCCUGCCGCCCCAGCCUGGACGCUCUGCGUGGAAGUGCAUGUUUGUAGCAGCUGGGGCCUCAUCUCAGCGCUCGGAUCCCUCCUGCCGCCAGAAUCCGCUGGCCUCUGUCUCAUUCUUGGGUUUUCCUGCUGUCUUCGUUUACGUCUCUGUCCACAUGUCAAUGUAUUAAAACCCCAAUGGGUUCCGUUUCUCCUUUUCC